rnacentral:rRNA from 13 species
GACGGAAAGACCCCGUGAACCUUUACUGCAGCUUGGCUGUGGCACCGGAAAUAGUAUGUGUAGGAUAGGUGGGAGGCUUUGAAGCAGCGGCGCCAGUCGUUGUGGAGCCAUCCUUGAAAUACCACCCUUAUUCUUUUCGUUGUCUAACCGCGUCCCUGGAUGGGACCGGGACCCAGCCUGGCGGGCAGUUUGACUGGGGCGGUCGCCUCCUAAAGCGUAACGGAGGCGCGCGAAGGUUGGCUCAGAGCGGUCGGAAAUCGCUCGUUGAGUG